rnacentral:ncRNA from 2 species
UGCUAUCCUGCCCGGGCCAGUCGUACCACUUCCGGUGGUCAGGGAAUCCGGUGUGAAUCCGGAACUGACGCGCAGCGGUGAGGGGGACGGGCGGGGUAGUGCGCCACUGGGGCGGGAGCGGGGCCGGGAACGGCCGCGCGGUCCGGCCUGGGAAGGCAUCCCGUCCGGGUGAGCCCGAGUCCGAAGACCUGCUGGCCCCGCGCGCCGACC